rnacentral:rRNA from 1 species
AGUGAACGCUGGCGGUAUGCCUAACACAUGCAAGUCGAACGGCAGCACAGUAAGAGCUUGCUCUUACGGGUGGCGAGUGGCGGACGGGUGAGGAAUAUAUCGGAAUCUACUUUUUCGUGGGGGAUAACGUGGGGAAAGCUACGCUAAUACCGCAUACGACGUACGGGUGAAAGCAGGGGAUCUUCGGACCUUUCGCGAUUGAAUGAGCCGAUGUCGGAUUAGCUAGUUGGCGGGGUAAAGGCCCAGCAUGGCGACGAUCCGUAGCUGGUCUGAGAGACGGAUCACACACACUGGAACUGGGACACGGUCCAGACUACUACGGGAGGCAGCAGUGGGGAAUAUUAGACAAUGGGCGCAAGCCUGAUCCAGCCAUACCGAGUGGGUGAAGAAGGCCUUCGGGUUGUAAAGACCUUUUGUUGGGAAAGAAAAGCAGCCGGUUAAUACCCCGCUGUUCUGACGGUACCCAAAGAAUAAGCACCGGCUAACUUCGUG